AUGCAGUCGUACGCUUCUUUUUCCACCGGAGCUUGCUCCACCGGAAAAAGAGGAGUGGCGAACGGGUGAGUAACACGUGGGUAACCUGCCCAUCAGAAGGGGAUAACACUUGGAAACAGGUGCUAAUACCGUAUAACAAUCAAAACCGCAUGGUUUUGAUUUGAAAGGCGCUUUCGGGUGUCGCUGAUGGAUGGACCCGCGGUGCAUUAGCUAGUUGGUGAGGUAACGGCUCACCAAGGCCACGAUGCAUAGCCGACCUGAGAGGGUGAUCGGCCACAUUGGGACUGAGACACGGCCCAAACUCCUACGGGAGGCAGCAGUAGGGAAUCUUCGGCAAUGGACGAAAGUCUGACCGAGCAACGCCGCGUGAGUGAAGAAGGUUUUCGGAUCGUAAAACUCUGUUGUUAGAGAAGAACAAGGAUGAGAGUAACUGUUCAUCCCUUGACGGUAUCUAACCAGAAAGCCACGGCUAACUACGUGCCAGCAGCCGCGGUAAUACGUAGGUGGCAAGCGUUGUCCGGAUUUAUUGGGCGUAAAGCGAGCGCAGGCGGUUUCUUAAGUCUGAUGUGAAAGCCCCCGGCUCAACCGGGGAGGGUCAUUGGAAACUGGGAGACUUGAGUGCAGAAGAGGAGAGUGGAAUUCCAUGUGUAGCGGUGAAAUGCGUAGAUAUAUGGAGGAACACCAGUGGCGAAGGCGGCUCUCUGGUCUGUAACUGACGCUGAGGCUCGAAAGCGUGGGGAGCAAACAGGAUUAGAUACCCUGGUAGUCCACGCCGUAAACGAUGA
rnacentral:rRNA from 1 species